rnacentral:lncRNA from 1 species
GUGGAUGCCCGAGAUUUCUAAUGUGGCCGCGCAAGCAUCCGGCCUCUGGUGAUAUCUAUAUGGAGAUAUCCUAAUUAAAGUGCUGAGGCCAUCAGAGUGCUAGUACCUUAUAGACCUCACUCAUUUUGCUUUGGAUCUGGACUCCUUCAACACUUUGAAGAACAGAGUUGCAGUGCGAUCUCAUCGUGCUGAUCUGAUCAGAUCAAAUCAAGACCACUAAGAAGAGA